GUUGCUCAUGUGUGUUUUUUGUCAUAUUGAAUGUAUUAAGAAACCUCCGAUGAAUACAAACAUUGAAGACGUAUUUUCAGAAGAUUGCGGAUUUUUGAACACUGGAAAUAAAAUCACUGGCGGCAACGAAGCUGAUUUAGGUCAACUACCAUGGAUGGCACUUUUAGGAUAUAAACAAAAGGACAUAAAUAUAACAGAAUUUCUUUGUGGUGGUACCCUUAUUACGAAACGGAAUGUAUUAACCGCAGCUCAUUGUUUUCU